rnacentral:rRNA from 1 species
GACGAACGCUGGCGGCGUGCUUAACACAUGCAAGUCGAACGGAGUGGCGAACGGGUGAGUAACACGUGGGUGAUCUGCCUUGCACUUCGGGAUAAGCUUGGGAAACUGGGUCUAAUACCGGAUAAUGCAUGAUGAGCUCGCGUCCUAUCAGCUUGUUGGUGGGGUAAUGGCGUACCAAGGCGUCGACGGGUAGCCGGCCUGAGAGGGUGUACGGCCACAGAGGGACUGAGAUAGGGGCCAGACUCUUACGUGAGGAAGCAGUGGGGAAGAUUGCACAAUGGGCGGAGGGAGGAAGCAGCGACGGCGGGUGGGGAAUGAAGGCCUUCGGGUUGGAACGUCCUUGCGACAGGGAAGCGGUACCUGUAUAAGAAGCACCGGCUAACUACGUGCCAGCAGCCGCGGUAAUUC